rnacentral:rRNA from 1 species
GAUGAACGCUGGCGGCGUGCUUAACACAUGCAAGUCGAACGAAGCAUUUAAGACAGAUUUCUUUGGGAUGAAGUUUUUUAUGACUGAGUGGCGGACGGGUGAGUAACGCGUGGGUAACCUGCCUCACACAGGGGGAUAGCAGUUGGAAACGACUGGUAAUACCGCAUAAGCACACAGCUUCGCAUGAAGCAGUGUGAAAAACUCCGGUGGUGUGAGAUGGACCCGCGUCUGAUUAGGUAGUUGGUGAGGUAACGGCCCACCAAGCCGACGAUCAGUAGCCGACCUGAGAGGGUGACCGGCCACAUUGGGACUGAGACACGGCCCAGACUCCUACGGGAGGCAGCAGUGGGGAAUAUUGCGACAAUGGAGGAAACUCUGAUGCAGCGACGCCGCGUGAGCG